ACCGCCUUCACUCUGACAAUGUGCAGCUUUAAGCUCUCUGCCAGCUACCUGAUUGGGGUGGUGGAUGCCAGCAGAAGAGCUUAAGUACAGGCUUCAGAAAGGUUUACCACCAAGAUCGGUUUCCCAAACAUUCAGCUAGCUUUAAGCUUAAUCAAGUAGAUGGACAUCAUUCUCCUGAGGUCUUAAUUUUGUCCAAGUAGAGCUACUCAAUCGGGCCGACAUCCAUCCAAUCACCAACAAUCCAUCUUAAUAAAAUCAGGGCAACGGAGGUGGCUGGGAAUGUGGGAGACUCUGCUCGCCGCUGAUAAGCAAACGCUCACACACAGGCCUGCAGGAGGGACCAGAUUUACCAGGAAGACAAUGUCCACUAGGUCACAUACGUGCGCUUACACACGGACACACGAGUGGAGUAAUUUACUGCGCCAACAUAGAUAAACUUAAAUAAACAGAUAAACAGACUAACACUCGCUUGUAGGAGCCAAACACGCGCAAUCGUUCGAUAUAUCAAUGCUUUACUGUGUACACAUGCGCAAAAUAACAUAAAAAGCAAAGGAGUUUGUCAUUGGAAGUGAAAAACAAUUAAUAAAAGGGACAGUUUCACCAAAAAAUCUAACUGUUGUAGUCAUUUGCUCAACAGCAUGUUCCAAUUUUGAACAGUGUAAUCAACAUGGGCUCAUUCUGAAAAUGUAGCCCUGUGUACAUUUCUGGAGAUCGUGAAUUAAGGAGCAAGAAGUAUGUAU